CGGGGGGUGGGCGGGGGCGCGGCCUCGCCCCGCGCAUGCGCAGCGCCGAUCUCACCUCCUCCCCAUAAGCCUCGCGAGAUCCCGGGUGACGCCUGGGCUGGGCCGCGGCUCGGGGCAGGCGGGACGAUGGCAGCGGCAGCCGGGCGGCUCCUGGCGGCGACCGUGGCUCGCUCGGGGCGUGCGGGCUGGGGUGAGCCGGGCCGGCCCACGGCCGUGCCGCUGGUGCCCUCCCGGGGUGCCACCGUCACCCGCAGUGGCGCCAUUUUGCCCAAGCCGGUUAAGACGCCCUUCGGCCUCCUCAGAGUCUUCAGCGUCGUGAUCCCUUUCCUGUAUGUUGGUACUCAGAUCAGUAAGAACUUUGCAGCCUUACUUGAAGAACAUGAUAUCUUUGUCCCAGAGGAUGACGAUGACGAUGAUUAAAGGAGUAGGCCAGACUGGUAUCUGCAAUCUCCACACCAUGCAUUCCUUAGAGACUGGAAAAACUGAUGGUGUUUUCCAUCUUGUCAACUAAAUCAGAAAUAAAAUGUAGUCAAUGAGGGUCUAUACUGCAGACAACAGAGAGACUUAAGUGUUCCUACAUUACACGUCCAAAGAAGGACAACAGAGCUGGUGAGGAGUCUGAAGUACACCUGUUAUGAAGAGUGGCUGAGGGAGCUGGGGCUGUUUAGCCUGGUGAAAAGAAGGCUCUGGUGAGAGCUUAUCACUCUCUACAGCUACAAAAGGAGGCUGUAGCCAGCACUGGAACAGAAGAACAGAAGGGAGAAAGCCAUUGACAAAACAAUGGUUCCAACAUCCGUCACCUGUGUUUUGUCCUUCCUAAAGUGAACAGGGGGCUUUGUAUCCCCUUUUGCCAGUGAGUGCCCUGCACAUCUCUGUAUGCCGGAAAUCUGUAGAUCAGAGUUGAAGGAAAUGCUUGAUAGGCCCUGUGUCCUUGCACACACAUGCUCACCUCAUCAAAGACUGCUUGGGAUGCCUUGGAUUAGCAACAUGGGAAACAAUUAAAGGUCAAGAGAUUGACAUGUGCAA